AUUUAAAGCGCAGUCCUUAACUCCAGCCUUUACCAGAUUGUUAUCAAUCGUGGUAUUGCAUUGUGGCUCCUACCAAACUAGUCUGAGAGGAAGCGAUCAGAGCUCACAGUCCCAACAGCACAUAGGAGCUGCUUGAAACGCCAGGAGCUGCUAGUUCUUACUCCGGUGUACAGACAAAGGGGUAAAAGACAGAGGGCUGUCUGUUUCCUGAUAUGUGAGGCAGCACAUGUCCAACAAGAGGUGGGUCCAACUGAAAUGACUCCUGAAAUAUCCAUCAGCAUAAAUUACAUCUUUGGUAGUGCUGAUUCCCUCUUUUGGACUAAUGAAGUUAUAUGCCCCUGCACAACUACCAAGACGCCUGCUAAUGUCUUUUAAUUUGCAAAGAUAAUUGCAACACGGUUCCACUUAAAAAUCUAUACAUGCCAGGAAAUGAAGCUAAAACCGACCAAUCCACAUGGGUAAUUGUUUCUCCCUUAGAUUCUCUAAUGUAUAGCUGCAUAUCAAGGGUCUAAUGACACCAAUCAAAUGAUAUAUGCACUAAUGAAGCAGUCAGGGUUGACAUGGCAUGUGCAAAGGUUAUAAAAUAAGGAUUUGUGCAACUACUUAUGAAUACUAAUCUGCUUAUCAUUGUUUCUAUCUAGCACCUUGUUUGGCAAAUGCCAACAUUUGCAUUUGGUGCCUAAAGGUGCUAGAAAACCAGGCUAGGCUAUGCCCCAACAUUUGCAAGAAGCCAAUGUAACACAGACUGAGAACAGAACAUGUUGUGCGUGUUGUUAUCUUAAGGUUAGAGGCACACAGAUGCACGCAUGCUCACUCAUAUGCAUUCAGGGC